AAAGUCGUAACAAGGUUUCCGUAGGUGAACCUGCGGAAGGAUCAUUAUUGAGUGCGAGUUGGUGGAAGCUAUGCUUGAUGUGUAGCGGAAGCUAUAUGCAUGAUACUUGCUCUCGCAAGAGAGUGAGCAAACACGAGAACUAUUGACAUUUAUCACCUAAUUUAGUAUUACUUUUAACAACGGAUCUCUGGGCUCCC
rnacentral:misc_RNA from 1 species